rnacentral:rRNA from 1 species
UACGUAGGGGGCAAGCGUUGUCCGGAUUUAUUGGGCGUAAAGAGCGUGUAGGCGGCCAGACAGGUCAGCUGUGAAAACUCGAGGCUCAACCUCGAGACGUCGGUUGAAACCGUCUGGCUAGAGUCCGGAAGAGGAGAGUGGAAUUCCCGGUGUAGCGGUGAAAUGCGUAGAUAUCAGGAGGAAUACCGGUGGUGUAGACGGCUCUCUGGACCGCAACUGACGCUGAGACACGAAAGCGUGGGUAGCAAACAGG